AUAGUAUUUAUUUAGUGGUUUGAGUGCUGGACUACAACUCCAGAGAUCAGGGUUCAAUUCCCAGCCCAUA